CCUACGGGUGGCAGCAGUGGGGAAUUUUGGACAAUGGGCGCAAGCCUGAUCCAGCCAUUCCGCGUGAGUGAAGAAGGCCUUCGGGUUGUAAAGCUCUUUCGCAAGGGAAGAAAACUUAUCCUCUAACAUAGGAUGAGGUUGACGGUACCUUGAUAAGAAGCACCGGCUAACUACGUGCCAGCAGCCGCGGUAAUACGUAGGGUGCGAGCGUUAAUCAGAAUUUCUGGGCGUUGUGCGUGAGGUCAGAUGUGAAAUCCCCGAGCUCGACUUGGGAACUGCGUUUGAAACUACAAGACUAGAAUAGGUCAGAGGGGGGUAGAAUUCCACGUGUAGCAGUGAAAUGCGUAGAGAUGUGGAGGAAUAUCAAUGGCGAAGGCAGCCCCCUGGGAUCAUAUUGACGCUCAUGCACGAAAGCGUGGGGAGCAAACAGGAUUAGAUACCCCGGUAGUC
rnacentral:rRNA from 1 species